rnacentral:rRNA from 1 species
GCGGCGGACGGCAGAGUAACGCGUAGGAACAUACCCCAAAGUGAGGAAUAACUGCCCGAAAGGGUAGCUAAUACCGCAUGUGAUCUUAGGAUUAAAGCCUUAGGGCGCUUUGGGAAUGGCCUGCGUUCGAUUAGCUAGUUGGUGAGGUAAAUGCUCACCAAGGCGACGAUCGAUAGCUGGUCUGAGAGGAUGAUCAGCCUGACUGGAACUGAGACACGGUCCAGACUCC